rnacentral:rRNA from 1 species
CAGUCGCCACGGUAAUACGAAGGGUGCAAGCGUUAAUCGGAAUUACUGGGCGUAAAGCGUGCGCAGGCGGUUAUAUAAGACAGAUGUGAAAUCCCCGGGCUUAACCUGGGAACUGCAUUUGAAACUGGCAGGCUAGAGUCUUGUAGAGGGGGGUAGAAUUCCAGGUGUAGCGGUGAAAUGCGUAGAGAUCUGGAGGAAUACCGGUGGCGAAGGCGGCCCCCUGGACAAAGACUGACGCUCAGGUGCGAAAGCGUGGGGAGCAAACAGGAUUAGAUACCCGCGUAGUCCCUGUCUCUUAUAC